rnacentral:misc_RNA from 1 species
UGAAUUAGAAAUGAUGGGUUGUAUUGUAAUUAUAAUUUAUUUAUUUGAUUUUAUAGCAUUUUGAAUUUUCUUGGCUUGAACAAUUUUUUCUUUUUAAGAUUGUUUUCAAUUAGGGUUGGGUACCAAAUCCAUUUAUAAUGUUUUGAUUAAAUUUACAGCAAAAAAGAAGGGUUUGGGUGGGUUCGGAUAAUAGGAUUAUUAAAUGGAUUCAGGUUUGGGGAGAUUGAAUUUCCUGGGAACUGUACCCACUGUCAUUCAGGAUUAUGUUCCUUUUGUCUCUUUUGAUUGUUGCAAGCCUGAUUUGAAAUGUUGGUUGAGGAGACGGAGUUUGUGUCAAGUAAUUUGUAACUCUUGAAGCUUGAUGUUGUUCUGGGGAAAAUGACUUUUUAGAGAUGUUUGAUAUUCAUAGUAAGGAUGUUGUUGAGGAACUGGGUCAUGAAGUUAUAUCACUGAUGUAAUUGAUCUUGGAUGGACUGAUUGCUGAAAUUAUAAUGUUGUUUACUACUGGGAUUUGGUGUUUUGUUUUGGAGGGAAUGGUAAGGGGUUUGGGUUUGAGCUAAUGGAUGAUCAUUAGUGUGUGGUUGUAAUGUGGACAGGCAGGAGGCAGCGGCUGGUUUGGGAUUGGUGGUGGUUUGGUGUUUGUGCUGAUCAGUGGAGGUAGUUAUUAGUAAGAAUAUUUUUGAACAUGAGUUCUGAUAGCAGGAGCCAGAGCAGGAGCAGGAGCAGGAGCAGAAGUCCAGUCUGUGGCUUUGGGCAAGAAUCAGGACUCUGCGACAGAAGUAGAAGCAGAUCAGGUUUAUCAGCUCAAUUAUGUAAAGAUU